rnacentral:rRNA from 1 species
GACAGAGGGUGCGAACGUUGUUCGGAAUUACUGGGCGUAAAGCGCGUGUAGGCGGCAACGCAAGUCGGGCGUGAAAUCCCACGGCUCAACCGUGGAAGUGCACUCGAAACUGCGUAGCUAGAGUCCUGGAGAGGAAGGUGGAAUGCUUGGUGUAGAGGUGAAAUUCGUAGAUAUCAAGCGGAACACCGGUGGCGAAGGCGGGACUCUGGGCCGAUACUGACGCUGAGGAGCGAAAGCGUGGGGAGCAAACAGG